UCAGAAAUUUAUUUCCUUCUCCCUAUCUCUUUUACGUUCCAGCCAAAGAAGAAAAAAAGGGGAAAAUGAAUUUCUCUUGUUAAGUCUUGCAUGCAAACCAUUACAGUCCAACUAAUUCUUCCUUCAAUCAUUCAUGUCAACUACAAUUCAGAUUCUCACUCCUUUCUUCUCAACUAGUAGAAAAGGGUUAAUAGAAGCACUCCUUCAUCUCUUAUGAUUCUUGCAUGCAAGUAAUUUAUUCUCCAAAUUCUUUCCUCAAUUGCUCUUUAAUUGGAUAAGCUAAAACGUGAAUUUAAGAUGGUUAUAAAUGAUUCCAGGAUUGAUUAUGGAUGCCCACAUGGUUGAGCAAGAGUUUGGUUGAAAUCAGGACGUAAAAGUUAGAGGCGGAAUCAAUAAGCUGAAAUAAGCUGUUUUGGAGAAAUAGUGGUCUUAGUUUUCCCCUGAUCGCUCUGUUAUGCAGAUAAGAACAAUAUAAACCCAAAAUGAGAUUAGAACAUAUGGCGAUCAUAGGUUCCCUGAGAUUGCCUACAUCCUAGGAUAGGUGGAACUCGCUGAGACAUCAUGUGUCACCCCAAUCCUUUUUAUUUUAUUUCAGAUGCAUAGGUGGCUCGCAAGCAUAAUAGUUUGUGAUGAAGUAGCAGAAGAACCUGGACAAUUAUAUUUACUUGUCAUUUGUAUGUAUUUUGUACACGCCACCAAUACUAUUAUAGAGGUAUAACACAAGUAAUUCUAUAGUUUGUUUAGAAAAAAAAAAAAAA